AUACUUGAGGGAUGAAAAAUACACUUUUUCUUCCUACUAUUGGUAAUGCACUUUUUUUCAUCUCCUCCAGCAGAUUGCUAAUAUCUCAUCACCAAUACUUUGUUGCUGGGCCGAAAGCUAUAUGAGACAGCCCAUCUAUGCCCCGUAUCUCUCUUUUCCCCUCUUUUUUUUCUUCCUCACGGUAUGAAAGCCACCUGCAAUGCAAUUUUUGUGUGCUCCUUCCAUUUUCUCCAUGAGCAGAGCUGCAGAUCAACAGCUAUUCCAUCCUUCCUCCAAAUUAAAGUACCAGAUCAACAAAUCCUCCCUCUCCAGCUUCCUGCCUUCCAAGAACAGCGGCUCCUUAAUCUCUUUCGAGCACACCAGCAAUUAUAGGUCCUGAUUGGAACGACUUAAA
rnacentral:lncRNA from 1 species